GAAAAAGAGCUGAAAUUUUGAUAUUUUGUUCAUAAUAGUAAUAAAAUUCAUUUGAGAGAAGAUUUUUUUUUAACGCAUAAUUCUUGAAAUUUCCUCAUAAUUAAUCUUGUUUGACUCCUUUAAUUUGUAUUACGGUAGUGUUGAUGGCUAUUAAUGAGGUUGAUCAACACGAACGCUAACGAGCUGUUUCACGAACGAGCUGUUUCACGAACGAGCUGUUUCACGAACGAGCUGUUUCACGAACGAGCUGUUUCACGAACGAGCUGUUUCACGAACGAGCUGUUUCACGAACGAGCUGUUUCACGAACGAGCUGUUUCACGAACGUGCUGUUUCACGAACGAGCUGUUUCACGAACGAGCUGUUUCAAGAGUGUUGAGAAUCAUAGUUAAAGCAACAGUGUUAAAACUUGCAAAAGAAAAGAAAAAGUAGCAACAAACAACGUAACACAUAUUUAUUUUUUGAAUAUGUCGACAUUCAAGGAUAAA